CUCCCCCAUACCAAAUUAAAUAAACUAAAAUUUUAGGACAAAAGUGCACAUUUGGAAAAAUAACUGACCAUUUUUAAUUUUUUUUUUUUACUAUUUUGGCAAUACAUUUUCAAUUCCCUGUGUAGCGUAUAAACAUGGUAGUAAGCUGAUGUUGCUGGGUUUAAUAAAACUCAGAGCCCUUACUAUAUUCUCCAUACUCCCCGGCUCCCUGAACGCAUCAACUGGGAAAAGGGAGGAGUUUGCCAUUUACAGUUUCUCUGCAAAGAUGCAGAUUUAAAGAAUGGAUCCGCAGUGUGAAAAACUGCCCGAACAAAGUGAAAGGUAAGCUGGACAUAAAGGUUUACAUGGUGGAAAAGGGGUUACUUCCAAUUUCCAAAGAAAUCUAUAGAGAAGCGUUUCCCAGUAGGGGUUCCGCAAGAACACAAAUGGGGUUCCGCCAAAAUUUCUGAAAGAAAAUGGCCGCGGGCAGCGAUCUCCCUGCUCAGCUCCCUCAUAUGCACAGCAGUGAUGCUGGAGCCGGAAUAUGAGGCAUGCAAGGGAGAUCACUGCUCCCUCGCCACCCGCACACCAGCCGCUCAGCAGCCCCACUGGACCCUAGGGACUGCACGCCAGUUGCUCAGCAGCCCCACUGGACCUCAGAGACUGCACACCCAGCCCAGCAGCCCCACUGGACCACAGGGACAUAGAGACUCC